CUGCCAGGGGAUGGCCAGGAAAAACAAAACCAUCUUAAGCUGAGGGCAGUAAGUAGGAUAGGGUCUCUUUACUGAAAUGUAGUGAUAUGUAUUUACAUGCCUUGUGCUAUAUAAAAUACAUACGUGGUGAAAAAGGAUAGGUGGUGCGGGAAUAAAAUGUCAGUUCCACUAUUUAAGUUGUAUCCUAUUGCUUCUAACAUAGGCACAGAGUUUCCUUGUUGCAAUUUUGAAUUGAUUCAGGAUCCAGAUCUUCAUUAUCCCUCACACAAACUUUUAAAAAAGUUUUCCCAUUUGAAUACAAUGUGAGUCACAUAGAUAACUAUGUAUUUGCAUGGGAAUUGUAUAAGAUCUUGAGUGAUCAAGCUGGGUGAAGGUCAGAUAAAACAAGGGCCAGAUUUCCUCCAGUGUCUCAUCAAAUUCUUUCAGGCACAGCUGAAUUUUUUUCAGUAUGGAUAAAAUGCAGCACAAAGUCUCAUUCCUUUUAUUGAAAAACUAUCUGCUACACUGCAUAAUGUUAGAGGUUUCUGUC